rnacentral:rRNA from 1 species
UACGUAGGGGGCGAGCGUUGUCCGGAUUUAUUGGGCGUAAAGAGCGCGUAGGCGGCCCGUUAAGUCGGAUGUGAAAACCCGUGGCUCAACCACGGGCCUGCAUCCGAUACUGGCGGGCUCGAGGCAGGCAGGGGAGAUCGGAAUUCCUGGUGUAGCGGUGAAAUGCGCAGAUAUCAGGAGGAACACCGGUGGCGAAGGCGGAUCUCUGGGCCUGUCCUGACGCUCAGGCGCGAAAGCUAGGGGAGCAAACAGG